AAUGAAUACACCCCAGGUAUGACUAAUGACGUCAGCAAGGUAGUGCACACUCACAGCUCCUUUCCGGUGUAGGCAACUGCAGUGCGCUCGAGUUCCUGGUUGACAUUAAUAUUGAAGAUCAUUAUUUUCUAGCCCCUCCGUGUACUAUGUCCUCCAGAGGCAAAGGUGAGGAGUGUCUGGUGUGUGGGGGUGACCUGCACGGCAACCAACGGCGAUGGCUCUUUGGGCGUCAGAACAAGAAAGAUGGUCAGCCUCAGACCCCAUCAGACUCGCUGGGCAGGGGAAGUCUCUCCAGGUCUUCUCAAAGCAGCCCCUGGGGUAGCACCAUGUCUCUUGGCUCCACGGUCUCUCUCUCGUCCCUUUCCUCACCUUCUAAAGCAAUGGACCUUCUCUCUGUGCUGACACACAUACUAGGCCAGUCCGUACCACGGGGAAGUGGGCGGGGGGAGUUCUUGUGUGGCAAAUGUGUUUCAGUUCUAGAGCGGGUUUUCAAGUUUGACUCUGUCAUUUCCAGGGUGAGGGUCUUAUCCUCUGAGAGGCUUCAGAAGUUGACCCAGGAGAGGGACAAGGUCAGGCAGUGGGUACGCAGCGCUUACCGCCAGCGAUGCCCUCAGGAUUUCCGGAUGAGGAGCAGCACUAGUGAGGAGGAUGGGGAGGGAAUGGGAAACCGAGAGGGUUACAUUGAAAUGUUGAAGGAGAACAUGGUCCUGUCAGAGUAUGAGUGUUGGUCUGAGAAAUGGGACGCAUGUCCAUACUUCAGGAGAACGGGGAAACGAUGCACAAUGGGGAAAAAUUGUGAGGGAUGUGAUUCUCUGAGGGUGUCCGACUCCGCCUAUGAGUCGGUUUGUGGGGUUCCCCGCCGCCUACCCUUCCAACCCUUUUCCCCCUUGGCUCUAUCGCGGGAUAAGUCGCAGAGCAUGCCUCUUCAUUGGUCGAGAGUGCCGUCGCUAAGCUCUAGCCCAGCGUCAUUGACUGGAUCCACUCUCUCCUUACGAGCGUCCUCUCGCACUGAGUCCAUCCAAUCGCUGGACUCGCUGGGUUGCCGUGAUCCAUUUGAUUUUCCAGGUGAUUUGUCACUCCUGGUCCUCAGAGAGUUGAAAGGUAUUGAAGGAAAGCCUGUCAGUUCACCUUCGGGGAGUAAGAUUCCCGUUUUGGGUAAGAGGGAAGGGCGAUAUUUAGGAGAGGUAGGUGAGACAUCCUCCCCUGAGGUAACAAGGGUGCUGAAUUUUGGAGAGCGGGAGAAUGGAGGAGAGGAAGUGGACGGAGAGACAAAUGACGUUCUGACUGAAUUGAGGGACGAGUUUAUUCCACUACACAGAGAAAGCAAUACAGGUCGAGUGCACCUUGCAGUCAGACAGUUGAGAGGACAGCUUGAUCAAGCCAUGACACGCAUCAAGACCCUAGAAACUGAGCUUAAACACGGGACCAAAACCAAACCAGAAGCUAAUGUCAGUGGACCAGAGGAUUGGCUUAAGUUUCCGCAGAAGGACGGGGGAAACUUGCUACUGCAGAGUUUGGGGCAUUCGUUGCUCAGCAGAGACAGAGUUAUCCGGGAGUGCAUGUGUCUGAUCAGGAAGAUGUGCGUUGAGGUGGGGACAGGGACAGACGUGGCUGACAGACUAACACAGGCACUCACUGACAAUCUGAAACAAACUCUCUCCGACAAUAAGCUAGCCCUGGAGGCUCUGCUCUCUGAGGUGAGUGAGAGGGAGAAGAGGAUGGAGAGCGAGCUGGAGGCACUGAAGAAGGCUGGGAGAGACCGGGAGAAAGACCUCUCCACACUCAACGCUGUGCUCCAAUGUAACCAGGACAUCAUCAAUGAACUGAGAGUGGAGCUGGUUGAGAAGUCGCGAGUGCAGCGGGAGGUGCAGAAGGAGAGGGAAGUGUGGAGACAGCGGGACCAGGCCCUCACAGCAGUCCUACAGGAGAAAGAGUCACUUCUCCUCUGCCUGAAGGAGGCACUAAAGAGCUCUCAGAAAGACAUGCAGGCACUGUCGGACUCUGUGAUUAGCCAAGGGGUGUCAGGAGGCGGGGCUGAGGGGGCUCUGGCCUCUCAGCUGAAGGAGAAGGAGAGCCUAGUGAUAGCCUGGUUACAGGACAGAGAGGAGCACAGCGCCGCCAUGUGCCGGGAGUUCUCCAAGCUCACCACCGCCCUGCAGGACUAUCAGGGUAUAGUGCAGGAGCAGCAGCAGAAUCAUAGUCAGACGGUGUCUUCGCUGUCAAAGCAACUCAACGACACACUCAACGACCUGAGGGAGAGCGGGAAGGAGAACAAGGAGGCACAGCGAGCCUGGCGGAGCGAAAUGGAUGACAAAGAGAGGGAGGAGAGGAAAUUGAGGGAGAGCCUGGAGAAGAGAGACAAACUCAUUGAGCAAGUUCUCCUGGAUUCCGAAGAACGGGAUCAUCUACUCAAAGAACUUCAACAGAACCUGCUGAACAAACUUGAACCCAUGAUUGCUGUCAAACACACAUUAUGAAAGAGACAAACAAGAUAGUGAAAGAGCAAAAAACAUAGAACCAUGAAGGUACAAUGCACAUUUUAUAUAGAUGAGUUGCAUGAACCAACAUUUUCUCCACAGGUAGUUUACUACUAAUUACAAUUGCAUGUAGGCCCAUUGAAAAGGUUGUGUUUUGCACAUUUGCACUAGUUGCAUCUUGCCUUGGCAGGCAAGCCUUGGUUUUUCUGUUAAAAGAAUUUAUGGCCUUUACAAAACUCUUGACUGGAUAUUUGUCAAUAGUGAUGUUAUUACUCUGUUUUGGCAUCAUUCAUAUUUGUAUAUUCAUAUUGAUGAAGUAUGCUAGUAGUUAAUGUCUGACAUGGACCAAAGUAUGUUUUGAAAUAUUUUGCUUAAAUGGUAGUACUCUGUCAAUGAAAUGUAUCAAUACAGACAGUUCAAAUAAUUUCAUUUCCCGGGAGUUCUAUUUAUGCUUAUUCAAAAUACACUUUGGUCCAUGUCAGACAUUGAUUAACUAGUAGAAUGGGACAUGGGGAAAUGUAUGAUGAGAUUUGUUAAUGUGUCCUUCAGGGCAUAGUGUAGUGCAGCCUUCUUGAUACGUGCUAUCAGAAGGGGGAUUAUUAUUGUGUUGAAUCUGGACAAUUUGAUGUCGCAGUUUCCCAAGAGCUUUCCUUAUUGGUGUCAUACUACCCUGGGUCAGUGCAGUAGGCAGCUGUUGGACUGUGCCAGUGAGAAAGCGCGUGUUCUGGAGCUUCUACCUCUCUCACUCUCCCUCUCUCUGCAGGGAGACAGGGAACUCCCUCCCAAGGCCUCAAAACUACCAGAGCCUAUUGGCCCAUUCACUCCAGGUGUUAUGUUAAUAGCAUACUGUACUAAUGUAACACAGUUUACGGCACUGCAUUGAUGUCACCUUGUCCCAUAUAGUGCCUAUUGUGGUUACACUUUUUUGUCAGUGAUUCACCUAGUUUUUGUCUUAAACACUACAUGGUGACUAUGUAGUUACAUAAUAGCCAUUUAUUUAUUUGGGAUUUAUUUAAACCAGCAGCUGUAGGCUUACCAUUUGCUUGUUAGUCCCACAAAUUGCCCAUUUCUACUAUACACUCUUAGUGGAUACUAGGCAAAUAUCAGCUGAAACAGGUCUGUAAAAUAAAGAAUUACCCACAUCUUUCCCUUCUCUCAGAAUGUAAGUAGGUUCUGGAGUCUACCACUCUGGUUGUGAACCAAUCCCAGCUGCUACGAGAGAACAUCAGGCAGAUGAUUGGCAAUGCCAUCACAAGGCAAAAAGCUGCCCACGGUACUGUCAGUGAAGAAAAUAGCUGAGACAGUCACUCUGAAGCAAAAUCUCACAAUUAUGUCCGCAGCCUCCAGGCUGGCCAUUUUCCGCUAACAGAGGCAGCUGAACUGCAUUCAUCACAGCCAUGACAGAGCACUGGGCCCUGAGUACAGCGGGGAUAUGCUUUCCAGAAAAACUGAACAGGCCUAUAGUAAAUGUUUACCACAGACACCCUGGGACCCAGUUACCUGAGGCUGCUCAUCUCAUACAAUUCUGUGUAGAGACGCUGCCUGCUGUCCUCUAAAGAGGAGCUCGUCAGGCUACAGGGCACAUGUCUGGAGCGGGUGGACAACCUGCACAGCAAGAGGGCCGCAGAGCAGGUGGACUCUGCCGUGGUCAGGCUGCGGCGGCAGCUGGUCGACAGACGAGCAAUGCCCACUUUCCUCCAACAGGGGUUGUACUAAACUCAUUAUGUAGUGAAUGACUCAAUUCAUCUUUCUUCAUUGUUUCCUCUCUCCUUGGUUCCUUCUCAAAAAUGCAUUGGAGGAGAAGAUCAGAGGGAAGAAAGAUAAAAGGUUCCUCCCCUCUGGUCUUCUCCUCCAAUGCAUUUUGAGAAGUAGAUGAGGAGAGGAAUCAAGGAAAGAGAAGAGCCCCUAUCUAUAGUUGUAUACAAACGGUAUGUGUGUGUUUUAUCCUGGAUAUGAAGUGAAAGAGGGACCAAUGUGCUGAAAUCGACCAUUUAAACAAGAUGGUUAGGAAGGUAUGUUUAACCUAGUCAUGUGUGGCAUCCCAACUCUCAAUUUACCACAUUUCUGCAUUACACCAUUAACAUGUACUUGAAAUAAACAUAAACAGUAUUUCUCUGCAAACUCAGCCCCAUUGCUUAUUGUAUGGGAGUCCCAUAAAUGUGCAUGGGUUUCAUUCGCCUGUACUUGAUCUCCUUGUCAUACUGCCAUUUUGUACAGCUUGGCAUCUAUAAUGCGAAUUGAAUAUGUUCAGCAUAGACUGCAUCAGAAUCACAAACAGUGUACUGUUUAUGUUCAACUUCACCUCUGAAUAAAUGUAUACCGUUAUGAA